GUGCUCUCUUUGGCAGCACAUAUACUAAAAUUGGAAUGAUACAGAGAAGAUUAGCAUGGCCCUGCAUAAGGAUGACAUGCAAAUUCAUGAAGCAUUCUAUAUUAAA
ensembl:snRNA U6 U6 spliceosomal RNA